CCUACGGGAGGCAGCAGUAGGGAAUUUUCGGCAAUGGGGGGAACCCUGACCGAGCAACGCCGCGUGAACGAAGAAGUUAUUCGUAAUGUAAAGUUCUUUUAACAGGGAAGAAAGAGAAAUUUGACGGUACCUGAAGAAUAAGCUCCGGCUAACUACGUGCCAGCAGCCGCGGUAAUACGUAGGGGGCAAGCGUUAUCCGGAUUUACUGGGUGUAAAGGGAGCGUAGACGGCUGUGCAAGUCUGAAGUGAAAGCCCGUGGCUCAACCGCGGAACUGCUUUGGAAACUGUAUAGCUUGAGUACUGGAGAGGCAGGCGGAAUUCCUAGUGUAGCGGUGAAAUGCGUAGAUAUUAGGAGGAACACCAGUGGCGAAGGCGGCCUGCUGGACAGAAACUGACGUUGAGGCUCGAAAGCGUGGGGAGCAAACAGGAUUAGAUACCCGAGUAGUC
rnacentral:rRNA from 1 species